rnacentral:lncRNA from 1 species
CCUCACUUCCCACAUGGGGCAGCGACCAGGCAGAGACGUUCCUCACUUCCCAGACGGGGCGGCGGCCGGGUAGAGGCCCAACUCCCCAGACGGUAGGGGGCGCUGGGCAGAGGAGCUCGUCACUUCCCAGAUGGUGGGGCAGCCGGGCAGAGGCACACCCCACUUCCCAGACGGGGCGGCAGCCGGGCAGAGGCACUCCCCACUUCCCAGAUGGGGUGUCCUUUGCCAAUUUUUAUAAAAAAAUUUGGCAUAGUGCUUGCAUACAUUUGCAGGUUGUAUUCCAGAUGCCUUGACUCCAAUAAUGUAAGAGAAAACACAAUGAGUGCACCUGCAGUCAAAGGAGGCUUUCAGGAGGGCACACUUGAUUUGCUCCACAAGGCUGGGGGAGGCACUCAGUAGACUAUUUUCAGAGAAGAGAAUGUCCCAGCUAGAAAUGCAAGUGCACGAGUGCCAACCCAGUGAGGUCAAUGAUUUGCGAGUGGAGACCCUGAGCACUUGCCAAGCUGUGUGGCGAUCAGCUGGUGAUUUUGCUGCAAAGCACCAUCAACUCCGUGGAGCUUGCCAAGACAGUGACAGCCCAGCAAGUCUUCAGGGAUGUGUCCUGCAGAGGUAAGUGGGAAUGGGGCACAGUCUUGGGGUUCUAGGACUCGAUCGUUCCUAGGCUACCUCCUUUCUCUGGAGACAGUCCGGUAUAGUAGUUAGAAGUACAGUUUUAAAUGCAGAGUCAUCUCAGUGAGUUCACAUCUUGGCUGUGCUUCUCACUAGCUAUGCAGCCUUGGGCAAAUGACUUCUAGCUUGUGCCUCUGUUUCCUCAUUGGAAAAACAGAGGUAAAAAUAACUGUUACCUUUAGGGAUUUUUAGUGAGGGUGGUGUGAGGUGCUGAGAACAGGGCUCGCUCUGCAAUGGUUUCGCAGUGGUUUAUCUGUGAUUACUGCCUGGAAGAGCAGGCUUCGCCUCCAACUGGGCGUGGGUAUUAAGCUUUCGCUGUGUGCUAAGCACUGUGCCAGGCAUGGAGAAUGCACACAGAGAAGACAGCCCCUGCCCUCAGCGAGCUCCCUGUAGGCUAGGGAGGGUGAGGCUGUCCACACGGUGAGACGGUGCAGGACAGCAUGCACUGGGCUGCUUAGACGGGAGCUGCAGUGCCCGCAGGACGGCAAGCAGGCGGCGGUCAGGGGA